UACGGGGGGGGCAAGCGUUGUUCGGAAUUACUGGGCGUAAAGGGCUCGUAGGUGGUGCCCUAAGUCUGUUGUGAAAUCUCCCGGCUUAACUGGGAGGGUGCGGUGGAAACUGGGGUGCUUGAGUGUGGGAGAGGUAAGCGGAAUUCCUGGUGUAGCGGUGAAAUGCGUAGAUAUCAGGAGGAACACCGGUGGUGUAGACGGCUUACUGGACCAUAACUGCCGCUGAGGCACGAAAGCGUGGGUAGCAAACAGG
rnacentral:rRNA from 1 species